rnacentral:rRNA from 1 species
CGGACGGGUGAGUAACGCGUGAGAAUCUACCCUCAGGAGGGGGAUAACGGCUGGAAACGGCCGCUAAUACCCCAUAUGCCGCAAGGUGAAAUCUUUUUUGGCCUGAGGAUGAGCUCGCGGUGGAUUAGCUAGUUGGUGGGGUAAUGGCCUACCAAGGCGACGAUCCAUAGCUGGUCUGAGAGGAUGAUCAGCCACACUGGGACUGAGACACGGCCCAGACUCCUACGGGAGGCAGCAGUGGGGAAUUUUCCGCAAUGGGCGCAAGCCUGACGGAGCAAUACCGCGUGAGGGAGGAAGGCCUUUGGGUUGUAAACCUCUUUUGUCAGGGAAGAAGGACUGACGGUACCUGACGAAUCAGCAUCGGCUAACUCCGUGCCAGCAGCCGCGGUAAUACGGAGGAUGCAAGCGUUAUCCGGAUUUAUUGGGCGUAAAGGGUCCGCAGGUGGUUUUUCAAGUCUGCCGUCAAAGCGCGGAGCUUAACUCCGUACAGGCGGUGGAAACUGAGAGACUAGAGUCUGGUAGGGGUCGCGGGAAUUCCCAGUGUAGCGGUGAAAUGCGUAGAUAUUGGGAAGAACACCGGCGGCGAAAGCGCGCGACUGGACCGGAACUGACACUGAGGGACGAAAGCUAGGGGAGCGAAAGGGAUUAGAUACCCCUGUAGUC